GUUGAUUGGAUAAAGUCGUUCGCUGCUAACAACAACAAUGGACGGUUAAGGAAAACACCUUCGUUCGUUGUUCCAUUCACGUUUUUUUUUUCAUUUGAAAGUUGUUUAUUAAGGUUUGUCAAAAAAGAAGAAAAAAUACUCGCAUACAUAGGUACCUACAAAAAAAUAAUAAAAUAAUAAAAAGAAAUAAAGCAAAACGAAACGAAACGAAAUAUUGAAGCCACAUUUACUUUGAUCACACUGCUAAAGCGGGCUUAGGAGUAGUGUUGUUGUGUGUUUACAAAUAA
rnacentral:sRNA from 1 species